rnacentral:rRNA from 1 species
CCUUGAUGGCGACCGGCGCACGGGUGGGUAACACGUAUCCAACCUGCCGAUGACUCGGGGAUAGCCUUUCGAAAGAAAGAUUAAUACCCGAUGGCAUAGUUCUUCCGCAUGGUAGAACUAUUAAAGAAUUUCGGUCAUCGAUGGGGAUGCGUUCCAUUAGGUUGUUGGCGGGGUAACGGCCCACCAAGCCUUCGAUGGAUAGGGGUUCUGAGAGGAAGGUCCCCCACAUUGGAACUGAGACACGGUCCAA